GACUUUAGGCGGCAGGUGGAUGACUUGGCUCAUGUGUUUACUAAAGACACAGCUAACUGUAGGCGUUAUAGCAGGAGAAUGGCAGGACACAUUGACCACUGACAGUUUGAAUGCACUUGUGGUCCCGGGUUCAUCUUAGGGCUAUACCUGUCUGAGCAUCG
rnacentral:rRNA from 1 species